CUCGGUAGCUCAGUCGGUAGAGCAGAGGACUGAAAAUCCUCGUGUCGGCGGUUCG
rnacentral:tRNA from 1 species